ensembl:lncRNA
GCCGUCGGUCGGGAUGAAAGGGUACGACAGGGGUCUGGCUCUAAUUGACAUUCAUUCAAACUUUGACAUUUUGUCUCAUGAAAUACAAAAAUAAAUAAGUAAAUGAACAAUUUGCUUAUCAGUGUAUAGGUGUAAUUUAGUUACAUAAUCACAAAAGAUGAGAUACGCACAUUACCUAAACUUUUAGCAAUGAGUACAGUACAGAAGACUUUUUUGUCCACGUGACUGCUCUGAUCCAAUGGCAGGUCUUGCUGAGCCAUCCCCGGUUUCAAAAUGCCGGAACUUUGAAGUUCAACUUGGAAUCACUUGUAUUUUGGGGUCUGGUCCUUACAUUGACACUGCAUACAUUCUAAAUAACAGUGCUGUCACAGUGGGUCCAGAAUGGGGGGUAAUGGAGGAAACAUCCAGUAGACCUCGGCACCACUGA